rnacentral:rRNA from 1 species
CAAUAAGCGGAGGAAAAGAAACCAACCGGGAUUGCCUCAGUAACGGCGAGUGAAGCGGCAAGAGCUCAAAUUUGAAAUCUGGCCCCUCCGGGGUCCGAGUUGUAAUUUGUAGAGGAUGCUUCGGGUGCGGCCCCCGUCUAAGUGCCCUGGAACGGGCCAUCGGAGAGGGUGAGAAUCCCGUCUGGGACGGGGUGUCCGCGUCCAUGUGAAGCUCCUUCGACGAGUCGAGUUGUUUGGGAAUGCAGCUCUAAAUGGGUGGUAAAUUUCAUCUAAAGCUAAAUACUGGCCGGAGACCGAUAGCGCACAAGUAGAGUGAUCGAAAGAUGAAAAGCACUUUGAAAAGAGAGUUAAACAGCACGUGAAAUUGUUGAAAGGGAAGCGCUUGCGACCAGACUCGCUUCCGGGGUUCAGCCGGCUUUCGGGCCGGUGUACUUCCCCGGGGGCGGGCCAGCGUCGGUUUGGGCGGCCGGUCAAAGGCCCCUGGAAUGUAACGCCUCUCGGGGCGCCUUAUAGCCAGGGGUGUCAUGCGGCCAGCCUGGACCGAGGAACGCGCUUCGGCACGGACGCUGGCAUAAUGGUCGUAAACGACCCGUCUUGAAACACGGACCAAGGAGUCUAACAUCUACGCGAGUGUUCGGGUGUCAAACCCGUGCGCGCAGUGAAAGCGAACGGAGGUGGGAGCCCCCUCGCGGGGCGCACCAUCGACCGAUCCUGAUGUCUUCGGAUGGAUUUGAGUAAGAGCGUAGCUGUGGGGACCCGAAAGAUGGUGAACUAUGCCUGAAUAGGGCGAAGCCAGAGGAAACUCUGGUGGAGGCUCGCAGCGGUUCUGACGUGCAAAUCGAUCGUCAAAUUUGGGUAUAGGGGGCGAAAGACUAAUCGAACCAUCUGGUAGCUGGUUCUGCG